rnacentral:tRNA from 1 species
GCAAUCGUGGUCCAACGGUUAAGAUUUCCGCCUUCCAAGCGGGAGACCCGGGUUCGACUCCCGGCGAUUGCAC